rnacentral:rRNA from 1 species
CAGCCGCCGCGGGAAUACGUAGGGUGCGAGCGUUAAUCGGAUUUACUGGGCGUAAAGCGUGCGCAGGCGGCCCGUUAAGGCAGGUGUGAAAUCCCUGGGCUCAACCUAGGAAUUGCGCUUGUGACUGGCGGGCUCGAGUACGGUAGAGGGGGGUGGAAUUCCUGGUGUAGCAGUGAAAUGCGUAGAGAUCAGGAGGAACACCGAUGGCGAAGGCAGCCCCCUGGGCCUGUACUGACGCUCAUGCACGAAAGCGUGGGGAGCAAACAGGAUUAGAUACCCCGGUAGUCCCUGUCUCUUAUAC